AUUUUUUAAUACAAUAUUUAUUGAAAACGGCACUCCUAUUGGCGUUUUUCAGAAAGGUGAAAUUCUCAGACAUACUAUGCGCGACUUGAUCCGUUCCACUCGGUUAGUUGAUCCCCAUGAAUUUGUUUGCUCUAAGUAGAUUGAAGAUCCAGCAAUUUUAGUUACUCGAUUUGAAUAUGCAAACUUGUUUCACACAGUUACUGAGUGGUACAGUGCUUAUGUGGCCUCCAGGGUCACUGGCUUGCCUAAUCGACCUCAUUUGGUGUUUGUAGAUGGUCACUGUGAGCCUGCAGGCUCACUAUCUACAGCAUCGACAUUGGCCUGUUGAAUGGGGAUGGUGCCGCGACCUUCAAUCUUUUAUCUUCGUCUUUGAAAGGCACAACAGGUGACACUUGUGCAAUUAUUAUUAUUAUCAAAAGCUCGGUAGUCUCAUGUGCUUAUAUAUUCUAAAGAAUGAUUCACAAAAUUAAUGACACUGAAACUAAAAACUACAUUUCAAAAAAGAAUAAACAGAAAACAUAGGUGAAAAACCUACAAAUAUUUGUACAAAAUUGAAGACAAUUAGCCCGGUAAAGAAUGAGGCAGGUGGACGGUGAGCAGAUAUCAGACAGCUAGUAAGAUAGUUGGAAAAAUCCCCCUUUUAAAUGGAUGUAAAAUGGUGCAAAUAUUUUUCAAUAAUUUUUCAUCCAACACACAAAUUUAUACAACAAUUUAUAGCUGAUUCAAGUAUAUGAAGAAAUCAGAUAUAAGAAUGCAGAAUUCAUAAAUACACCUUAUGCUAGGAAUUUAACAAUAACGGGAAAUAUAUGCAUUUGUUCACCAAUUGAGGAUUCAGACCUAUGAUAACAUAUUAUACCUUUGAUCAUCGGAACCUACAAGAAAUGUGAAGCUUCCGGUCGCGGACUGUGCAAUGAUAACAUAUUAUAAACUGCAGAAAGGUUGCGGGCCAAUUGAAAUGCCUGUUCCUUUUUAACUAGACUAGCAAUCAAUCUUUUCUGGUCUCAGAGUACCCUUCACGUCAAUCUAUAUAUACAGAGAAGUAAUCAAUCCAUUGUUUGUCAGAAUUCAGAGUUAUGAAGUAAUACUAUUGCCUGUUCGUUUUACUGCACCUUUUCUAGUCUUGCCCAAUAGUCUGUAACUCAAGGUAACAGACAAGUAUUUUACGGGAAAUAAGAAAGGAAAUAAUGGUGCUUGUUCUUGAACAAAGACGGUUUCUUUCUUCAUGUUUGAAAUCGACUACUCAACAAAAAUUACAACAGAAAAUAAUGGUUUCUAUCUUCAUACUUAUAUAGUUAUACUACAAUUCAAGUAGUGAAUCUGGAAUGGAUUUCCACCUGUGACUGUGAUCAUGAAUUUAAAAUUUUGAACAUGAAUUCAACUAUCAAAUUGCCAUAUUAUAAGGUUGGUAUACAUAAUUACACAUUCAAUCAGCUUGAAAGCAAAACAGAAAGAAUGCAUACUAUUUGGUUCCCUAUAUUCAAAUAUUUCAGCAGAAACUAAAUUGCUGGUAAAUGGUCUAUCUGAACUAGAUGUUUUAUUGCCUUAACAAAAUUGUAAUCAAAUUGAGGACAUUACUAAAACACUUACAACAGUGUAGAGAGCUUUCCCAAACUUCGAAGUACCAUGUGCAGUUUUGGAUCAGCAUCAUUUCUUGCAACAAACUCAUGAACUGCAUCUUUAACCUGAAUCCAACUUCUACCUGGAACCGUUCCUUUCAUUUUCUCUCUCAUUUUGUUCCUUACGUUAACCACUCUAUCCCAUUCGGUAAUUGAUGAUACUCUAUAAAUUUAGUGACUUUCGUGUUGAAAGAUUUCUCAUGAUUGCCUUCACCUCCGUUCCUUCAACUAAUCAAUGAUUUAGAGUUAAUUCAGUAAACAAUAGAGCUCUAAUUGCAAUAACACAAAACAGAAUACAAAAUAACCCAAGCCCUAAUUUGAAGUGAAGAACAACAAACUAACUUGAAUAGAGAAGGGAGCCUGAUGGAGGUGGUGGCUGGCAGGCCACACGCGUCGGAGGUCGAGCAAUCUAUACGUAACAGCACUUCAAGUGCAACAUAGUCAUCCUCAUCGCCUUCAAAUGCUUCUUCCUCUUCUUCUUGCUCUAAUUCUUCUUCAUGUAUACUUUCUUGAUGUGCUGCGGUCUUUGUGUCUUUCUUAGAACCUCGAACAAAACUAGAUGAUGUGAAAAACUCUUUUUUUUACCUAGCAUAUGUUGUACACUCUCCAAUUCCCGAAGCCUCAUAAGCAGAUUCCCGGUCUAGUGUACUGCCAUCAAAAACCAAAAUAUUGUCGUGUUUACAACUUUAACAUCGUCUAAUUCUCCAACCAACUAUUCGUUACACUCAUCAAUGUCGUUGAGUGAAAUGAGAUUGAUUUUUUCUUUAAUAUCCCAUUGUCUAAUGGGAUUGAUUUUUUCUUUAAUUCUCCAACAAAAUGCAAUCUUUCACACAAUCUUUCACAAGGUAGAAGUUGGAGAAUUAGACGAUGUUGAAGUUGUAAACACGACAAUAUUUUGGUUUUUGACGGCGAUACACUAGACCGGGAAUCUGCUUAUGAGGCUUCGGGAAUUGGAGAGUCUACAGCAUAUGCUAGGUCAAAAAAAAAGAAUUUUUCAAAUGUUUUGUUCGAGGUUCUAAGAAAGACACAAGGACCGCAGCACAUCAAGAAAGGAUACAUGAAGAAGAAUUAGAGCAAGAAGAAGAGGAAGAAGCAUUUGAAGGCGAUGACGAUGACUAUGUUGGACUUGAAGAAUUAGA